ACACACACACACACACACACACAUACAUACACACACUCGACCGGCAAUCAGACGUAUCCUUAUGCGUAUUUCAAUGUUUCCUCCUACUUCUCGCGCGCCUCGCGUCUAUCUACAUAAUUAUUCAUUGACCCCAGGACUACACAUAUCUUUAUACAAACCGAAGCAAUCGAAUAUUUUUAUAUACAAGCCAAAUAAAUCACUACCGACUUUUCGAUAAAUUCUUUUUUCAGGAAGAUAUAUAGAGUAUGAUUGCGAAAUCAAAAUUCAAGUCUGCCUGCUAAAUUUCAUAAUACAAACAUUUAAGCAAAGACGUGUUCAAGAAUACUGCUGGCAGCUUGAAACUUUUACCGGCUCUCACAAACUCAUAUGCGUAGUUCUCGAGUUAAUGACCGAUUAAUUUAUAUUUCAUAUCUAUAUCGAACGCGCGUGCCUCCCAUUGUAAUCUAUCGUCUUAUUUUUUUAAUGUUGCAGUCGACUUUUUCUUUAUGGAAAUGUGUAACGUCGCACUACAGUUUUUUAUACUUAAUAUUACAGUCAUUUCUAUUUAUACGCGUUAAUUUAUGUAUCAUGUAUAUGAUGAAAAAAAAGAAAUUGGAUAACAAAGAGCAGCAUGUGUGAAAUAUCAACAGAUGUCUACAUAUCUUGCAUGGGAAACGCUUUCUCCCCAUUUUAUCCUCAAUGUAUCGCUAAUUUGGACAUCCAAUUCUGACAGUUUCAACAUCAAAAAAAAAAGAGCUGAAAAGACAUUACUGAGUUUUCAACCAAUAUACAUUCCCUUUUGGAAUAAAAAAAUUUCCUUUUUGACUAAACUCCAGAAAAAAAGACCACCCGAGCUCCAGGAUGUGAUAUUAUCAAUGUUAUAUCGCCUUGUAUGUCUCCAGUUGAGGAGAUCCAUCAGUAGUCGAUGCAGCAAACGCUUUGCUCCGGAUCAGUAUUGUUUUCAGUAACUUUUUUCACGUAUGUGCAUCGAUUGCGACCUCAAUGAAGCUCAUGAAAAAGUUUGCAACAUUGUAAUAAUGUUGAUGCAAUAUAACUGCAAAAUUUGUGCUGUACAGGAUGUGUUACUGUUUUUAUUUGACUGCAUUCCAUUAAGAUUUUCUACCACACCAUAAAUGAAUUUCAUAAAUAAUUUCAGAUUUUUAUG